rnacentral:misc_RNA from 1 species
GCCCCAUAUACCUUAAUUACAGAGUCACUCAUUAAGAGUUCUUCUGCCAAUAAUUCAAACUCAGAUGAUGCAUAAUGAGCUAGCCCAAAGCUCAGCACUCCACCACAUAAUAGACUUAUCUGUCCUUGGACCUGGACACGACUCCAAAGCAAAGGUACAGUAGCCCUGGCAUGAUUUCGGACAUAAACAUUUGUCCAAAGAGGCUGAUAAGGGAAGUCCAAAAGUAGGGUCUCAGUAUCUGUUGACAUGUUGUAAUUAUUAACAAUAAGGCUCCGGGGAACAGAGUCAUAUAAAGUCCCAGCAGCACCUGCAUUUUCUAGACAGCCACGACUACUUCCUCCAUGCACAAAAAUUUGAGGUUCAUCAUGCCUACUGAAAAUGUCAAC